CAUUUUCCAAGGAACAGAAGAAGUCUAUUUUUAACAAAGUCUGUAAGCUCUGCCAGAAGGAGACGCUUUGCCUCUUGGAGGAAGCCGCUUCACUGAGCACCCAGCAGUCAUGAAUCAUUCCCCUUCAAUACACAAGCUGUGCUCCUGAAGUUUACCAAAGGGGCAGAGGAGAUGCUGGUCAGCCAGAGGAUACAGGGGAAGAACAGAAAAGGCAUAACAAGAGGGAAGAAGAGGUGACUGGAGAAAGAGAGACAUAUUCACGCCACAGUGAGCAGAAGAGUUACACUGGAGCAAUGGCUUUAUAUAAGAAGAGAAGUUUUAGCUCUCUCUUGUCCCAUAUCCAGCUUACUAUCUCGUGUCCUUGGUCUCUUGCCUCGGCGCUUGGGUGGCUUGCCGCCCACAAUCCCCCGACAGAAACAUCAAUUUUGACAACGAUUUACACACAAAAACACCACCACAAAAGCUAAGGGAACCAAAUAACCAGAUCUCCAGUGAUGUUAACAGCAGUUGUGAAUUCUUAAUGAAAUUCAUCAUACAUUUGCAACAAAUUGCUCACCUCUCCCAACCCCAGAGAGCAAUGUGGAAGUAGAAGAAAAGGAGCUGGCAAUGAAUUAUCUCCCUCCUCACCAGAGCAAAAGGGGGUUAUUGACAGACAGGCGCCUGCCAGAGAUUCAACAGACACUCUGGGGUCUCAGAACCAUUCCUCUCCAUAUGCACCUUUUUGCCCAUCCUUCUUUCUUUCCAAUCUCUCUCCUUGUCAUACCACUUCUCCCCUCCUUCCCUUUCUUUUGUUCCUGUGUCUUUGUCUCCUCUCCUCUUCAUUGCUUUAGGCCAAUCAGGAAAACUCAGAAAAAUCCCACAUCUUUCUGACGUCUGCCUGUUGUCCUAAGGGAAAAAAAAAAAUAGGUGGCUAACUCUAGAUUAGAGUUUUAAAAUAUACACACCUGAUCCCACAAAUGCUCUAAAGCACUUAGUCACUUUUACAAAGCAAAUUUCUCAUUUCCUUAUUUCAUUUUCCCUUGAACAUAUAAGAAUCAGGCAGGAACCAAAUACAAGGGCA